rnacentral:lncRNA from 1 species
UAAGAAAGAAAAUUCACUUACAUGUACGUGAAUCCACGCAUGCGCAUUACAGUAAAUGACUUGGCCAGCCUGCAGAAGAUAAAACCUGCUGCCUGCUGUGGAGGUCUGAUCAUUAAGCUGAGGACGUGAUAACCCACCAUGCUGCUAUUAUGUCCAAAUAUAUACUAGGGAUGUAUAGCAAUUUAAAAAUAGUAGCUAGAUUUUGCCACCUUGGAUGGCACCAGUGGGUGAAUUUUGGGGUCCAGGCCCAUGGACUACUUGUCUGCUUUGUCAGUCUUAUUUUCAGUUGAUUGCAAAAUCAGUGCUUCCGAGUCUGACCAUGGAGCUAAGCAUACAGUAUUCAGACCUUUGUUUAUCAUACUCACUAUGUGUACAUAUGUACAGUGUACAUACAUGUAUGUGUGUACCUUUCUAGUGAGGAUGCUAACUGAAGACUCUGGUUGUUCCCAACUGGUGCUUUGUUGAUCGAACCAGUCCCACAUACGCAUGUCAUUGUCCCUUCCCCCUGUAUUUACUCACACAACUGUCUGCCUGAUCACCACUCUCUCCCUCAGGCCACUUGUACAAUUUAUUUUCAGAAGCCAGGGAGUUCAUGGUUAAUGAAUUUCUGCUAUUAUUCUUGGGCUGUCCGCAAUCACACCCUGAAGGAUACAAGUAUGCCUGGGUUGCUGGGUCUGGAUGAAUGACGGGCUACUGUCCUCUGACCUGUGCUAAGAACCUCCCGUGUUGAUUCAGGGCUGGCUGUGGCAAGAGGUGAUAGAAUUCAGGAGGAGCACAUAGGGACCCACUUGUUCUACCCUUGCUUCUGGGGUACCUCUGUUUGCACUUGAUGAAGUUACAGUAACAAUGUAUGGAUUUUGGAAAAGGUUAGGUGUACUGAUGCAGAGUACAUGGAAGUUGAAUAACGAGAAAGACAAAGAGCGAGACAUGCCAUUACGGACAUCCUUUGAGUUGCGUUUCCCUGAGUCAUCUUGGGAGGAUGCAGUCAAGUUCUUUGGUGGAGGUUCAUCAUGACAUUAACUCCUCCACAUUGGUUCAAGUGGCUUUCAAGGUUUGUUGAAGAAACCGGAACAAAAUCAAAUCGCUACAGCGGCCAAUUUCACAAAAAGCUGUGACACAUCUUACUGGUUUCAAAGUAUUAAAGAGUGCGACACAUUCUGCAACAGGUUUUGACAUUCUUGACCAUGCAGUGUGUAUGUAUGUGUACAGGUGGGCGGGCCAUCACCGCGUUGGGGGGAAGUUUUUAUUGUAAGGCAAAUUAGGACCGAGUUAUGGGGACUUUCUGCUGUCCCCACAGUGUCUUCGGUCCCCAUAGUACCAUGGGACAACUCGUAUGUAGUCCCUACAACUAUGGAACAAGUAUGUGUGCGCAUGCUGCACACAUACACACAGACCAAGCGAAACCCAGACUUGGUCAAGUCUAGUGAAAACCAUAUUCUUUCAUUCUUGAAAUAGAGUGAUGAUUUGGGUUUUCAAAAAGGUGUCAAUGGUAUUUUGUGUGCUGUACUGCAUGUAAGAAAUAUUGGCCGCCAUUUUUUUUAACUUGAAGCUCACAUUGAUUGUUUACAUCCGUACAUUUGUUUUUACAUGUUUUAUUAAGUGAUUAAAAACAAACAUGAUACAUCCAUAAAAAGGGUAAUUUUAUUCUUGUCUAAGAAUAAUCAUUCCUGAAACUGUAUUUAUAAUAUAGCAUGUUGAUUAAAGGUCAAUUAGCAAUUUUGUGCAACUUCACUGGUCAGCUCUUUUGUUGUGUGUAGUAUGUGUGGGACUGAAAAUGGACCGUAAUUGCCUGCUGAAGUGUCGCAAGUGCACUAUUUUCCCCCAUUUUUUUUUUUGGGGGGGGGGAAUUUUAGGAAUUGGCCUAGACGUUGUUACUGACGGUUCGUGGAUGAUAUUGGUUGGUUGUAAUAACGCCCUCUCGCGGUGGCGGGUUAUCGCAUAUCAAACCAUGACAACGUCUAGCCCCUAGACUAACUGUGCAGUUGUUAAUGAACUAGUCCAGCACCUACAUGUAAUUUCAUGGGAUUAUACAGCAUCCCUCUGCAUGAUAUUGUCAAGAGUUAUGUGUUAUAUCAGCAUGAAUAACACAACUCUUUAUUGCAGCCUGAAAUGGCGUACAAGCCUCACUGACAAUAUCUGGGAAAACUUGUUACCCUUUUAACAUGAAUUUUAUCGAGUAAUAUGCAUAAAAAUCCCUUUGCAUGCCGCAGUUAUUUGUUUAGGCUAUCUUAUGAGCCUGAAUUGCCUGUGCUCUUCAACAAAUGAGAUUUGUUUUUCUGCUUAACAAAUGUUCAAUUUGUGUGUUUUAUUUUAAAGAAACAAUUUUUCUAUUUUGAGGUAUGUUUUCAUCGGCAUUGGUUAGUUUGUUGGUUGGGUGGUUGGUUGGUCUGUAAACAAGAUAACUCACAAAGUUAUGGAUGGAUUUGCAUGGAAACCUUUUUAGGGGUGGUCCUUGGUACAAAUACAAAUCGAAGUGAUCUGGAUCUGGUUCUGGAUCCAGAUUUCUUGUAAAGGAUUCUUCACCAUUUAUGUUAGUUAGUGUUUCUUUUGGGUAUACUGACAAUAUGGCGGAGAAUUGUUUAGCCUUGGCGGAGGUUCGCGCUCUAGUUUUGAAUUGCUUUUGUACACAAACAAACAGAUCCCUCCUACAAGUAGUCUGGUUCCUACUCCCUACAUUCCUGAUUCUGAUAGGAGGUGGGGGGGGGGGGGCAACCAGUCUACCAGAAUUUAAAACAGGGAUAUCUUUUUUUGGAAGGGGGGUGUGAAACUCAAAUAUUGGACAGAUAUUACAUCUUGACUUCAGUAUAGCAAUGUAUGCAGAAGAGGUCUGCUCAUGCGUAGCCCUGUGGAACAAAGGUAUGCUGUGUAAAGGAUGAUGAUACUUGAUCCAGUAGACCCAAGAAGCAGUCUAUUGAGCAGGUAUCAUGCUUGUAUUAUUGAAAUCAAUCACAGUGUGGAAAAAGCCACCUUGUAAACAAUGCUAAAAUGGUAUGUCACUUUUCACUAGACAUCAAGCUCAGCAGUUUUAUGCAAAAUGGAUGCACUCGUGAUUAGUACAUGUCCAUGUAGCCUGAAAUUGGACGCAUUCUCUUGUGAUAUGUUCUCAUAUCUUUAUGUGGCUUCCCAGUAACUUUCGCAUACCCCAACACUUAAAGGUCCGUCACUUGAAUGUGGCAAACAUUAUGAGUUGUAUGAAUCGGAAAAAUAUCGCUACAGAUGUUGUUUUGUACUAAAGGUAUUAAACUACUUUUUUAUUAGUU